rnacentral:rRNA from 1 species
UACGUAGGAGGCGAGCGUUGUCCGGAGUUACUGGGCGUAAAGGGUGCGCAGGCGGCCGCGCGCGUGGGUGGUGAAAUCUCCCGGCUCAACUGGGAGGGGGCCAUCCAGACGGCGUGGCUUGAGGGUCGCAGAGGGGCGUGGAAUUCCGGGUGGAGCGGUGAAAUGCGUAGAGAUCCGGAGGAACACCGACGGCGAAGGCAGCGCCCUGGACGACACCUGACGCUCAGGCACGAAAGCUGGGGGAG